rnacentral:rRNA from 1 species
AUUGAACGCUGGCGGCAUGCUUUACACAUGCAAGUCGAACGGCAGCAUGGGUGCUUGCACCUGAUGGCGAGUGGCGAACGGGUGAGUAAUGUUUCGGAACAUGUCCGGAAGUGGGGGAUAACGUAGCGAAAGUUACGCUAAUACCGCAUAUGCCCUGAGGGGGAAAGGAGGGGAUCGCAAGACCUUUUGCUUUCGGAGUGGCCGAUAUCAGAUUAGCUUGUUGGUGAGGUAAAGGCUCACCAAGGCGACGAUCUGUAGCGGGUCUGAGAGGAUGAUCCGCCACACUGGGACUGAGACACGGCCCAGACUCCUACGGGAGGCAGCAGUGGGGAAUUUUGGACAAUGGGGGCAACCCUGAUCCAGCCAUGCCGCGUGAGUGAAGAAGGCCUUCGGGUUGUAAAGCUCUUUCGGACAGAAAGAAAUCGCACUUACUAAUACUGAGUGUGGAUGACGGUACUGUAAGAAGAAGCACCGGCUAACUACGUGCCAGCCGCCGCGGUAACAC